CUACGGGUCGCUGCAGUGAGGAAUUUUGCGCAAUGGGGGAAACCCUGAUGCAGCAACGCCGCGUGGAGGAUGACGCAUUUCGGUGUGUAAACUCCUUUUAUAUGUCAAGAAAAUGACGGUAGCAUAUGAAUAAGCACCGGCUAACUCCGUGCCAGCAGCCGCGGUAAUACGGAGGGUGCAAGCGUUACUCGGAAUCACUGGGCGUAAAGGACGCGUAGGCGGGUUGGAAAGUCAGGUGUGAAAUCCUACAGCUUAACUGUAGAACUGCACUUGAAACUUCUAAUCUAGAGUAUGGGAGGGGGAGAUGGAAUUAGUGGUGUAGGGGUAAAAUCCGUAGAUAUCACUAGGAAUACCUAAAGCGAAGGCGAUCUCCUGGAACAUUACUGACGCUAAGGCGUGAAAGCGUGGGGAGCAAACAGGAUUAGAUACCCGCGUAGUC
rnacentral:rRNA from 1 species